ensembl:lncRNA
GUAUUUUCUAUUCCGUUGUCUUGGAGUCCACUCUAUGACACUCUCCACUCUAUGACAACGGAAUGGAAUGGAACGGAACGGAACGGAAUGGAAUGAAAUGGAAUGGAAUCUUCAAGGCCAAGUUCCAGAAAGAAUUAGAUGCAUCUGUUCAUUGCUAUUCUAAACACAGGACAGAGCACUGCAUAUUUUUGUGUGAGAGAAUUAAUCAGCGACGUUUGUCCUUAACAAGACUUAAUUAAGUAGCCUUUCGAUGGAUAUAUCACCAUUCUUCAAAGACCACAUGGAGUCGUUAACGGCAAACAAACAAACAGCCUUUUUCAAGGCUUCCAGCCUAUUUACAGGCAUCCCACCAGCCUUUUCCCCUUUCCCCUUUUUCUCGGGACUCCUCCCAACGGAUACAAGGUGAACAUGGCCCUUUCUCGUGCCCGGGAUGAAGUGCACUACCUGAAAAGGAAGGUGAGCGAACUCAGUGCUCACACUGAAACUGGGAGGUACAGUUUGACCAACCUGUUAAAAGGCAAAGAUCUUGCCUAUGAGCAGACAAGAACAGAAAUAAGUUUUCAGACCUCGUCAGGGAGAACAAGGGUUUGUCUCUGAAGCUCCACAGAGACCACCGAACAACUCGUUGUCAAAAAUGCUGAACCCACGGUCCAGCAGCAGGCCAACAACCAACGGUUGAAAGCAGAACACAAACUGCUAAAGAGCAAGACAGAGGCUCUGGCUGAGGUUAUCGGGGAAAAGUUUGUUUCUGAAGCUCUUUGAGUACGGCAAACAACUCUUCGUCAAAAGUGCUGAACUCACAGUCAACAAAGGGACCUGGCAGCAGAAGUUGGAGGAAAAGACAUUCAAGGAACUGUAUUACCAACAACAGUCCAGUAAGUAACAGGGUUACUCUCCACCAAUAUUUCUCUUCAAGAGGAGCUGCACAAGCAGCAGGCCAACAACCACCAGUUGGUAGAAGAAAACAAACUGCUAAAGAUCAAGACAGAGGCUCUGGAUGAGACUAUCAGGGAGAACGAGGGUUUAUCUCUGAAGCUCACCGAGACCACAAAACAACUUUCUGUCAAAAGUGCUGAACUCAGGGUGAACAACGAGACCUGGCAGCAGUUGGAAGCAGAAAACAAACUGCUGAAGACCCAGAGGGAUUCUCUGGCUGCUUUAAAAAAGAGCCAAGAGGAGACCCACCACGAGAUGGUCACUAGCACUGAGUUGUGCCUGAUCUCUAAGAUCCAACAAACGGAGGAUACCAUUCCCAAAGAACAUCAGAUCCUUAUCACCAGGAUCCAAGAAUUAGAGGACGACAAAACAGUCCUUGAAAACAUCUGCCUGUACUUAAAAAAACGGACCGGCAGACGGAGAUGGACAAAAUGAGGCGCAAGAUGCAGGACAAGGAGACAAAGAAAUAGGAGAGAGAAAAGAAGAAAAAGGAGACCAUCCAGGACGUCAACAUCAACGUGCCUGAGACUGGACACAAGUAAGAACACCUUCCUUCACCUCCCACUCCGUCCCACCUCAUCCAUCUACCCCCCGCUCCCCUUCCACCCGCGCUUCACAGCGCUCAAGAACCCCCGCGCCCCCACCGCCACGGCCCCCAUCACAGCUAAAUACCCCCCCUGCCCCCACCCCUUCCACCAGCGCUAAAUAUGUGGGGGGCUAUAUAAUGAGGGGGGGCAUUUUUAAUGAGGGCUAACCAUUUUCCCCCAUUAAAAAAAAAGAAAAAACAAUGCAAACUGCCCCCCCCAUUUUCCGCCCGGCCACCGGCGCCGCACCCAACACAGCGCUAAAUACCCCCCCCCCCAUGGCAUGGACCGGCUCCUCAUUCAUUGGUGAGUAUCAUACCCUGUGCUCUAGGAAGUGUUUUUUUUCCAACUUCAUGGACUGGACAGUAGCACGGCAGGGCCUCUGAGGAAUGAGGAAUCUUUUUCAUCUCAUCCAUUUCCUUCUUUGGCUAAUGCAAGGCUGCAGAUGAAGAUGAGGGGGUUUCUGUAUCUGCGCACAUCCCUGAACCUGGUCAUUUGGCCGGUGUUUGGAUGAACUACCACGGCUGGGUUGACGAAUCAACAGUGACAAAUUGUGACAGUAGACCGAUAUUUCAUUCGUCCGUCGUUGGAAAUUGGGAUCUCGGUUAGAUUUUUCAAGUUAUGCAUUAGGAAAGGUAGACACACAUGUCCCCCUCUAUAGUUUCAAUGAUGCCAUGCCAAUAUUACAGUGAUGUCAUGCCAAUAUAUACAACAUAUUAUCAUACUUCGUAUUUGUAAUAUCACAGAUAAUAACAAGAUAAUAUAGGACUAAUAUCAUAUAGCAUUAUGUAGGAGUAAAAUAUAAACAUGGCAUCAUACUUAGUAUUUCUAAUAUUAUAUAACAUAAUAUCAUAUACAGUGUUUUCCCUACCAUUGUAUCCCCCCCGGCGUGCCCCAACACCCACGCCCCCCUCCGGUACGUCCGCCCCCCCAUAGUUGGGAACAUAGGGGAAACACUGAUAUAACAUGAUAUAGUAGAACCAAUAUAGGAGACAUGGCUUUAUACUUACUUAGAACAUUAUAUCGUAGAACGAAUAUCAUAAAAUAGCAUCGUAUUCCUUAUUUAUAAUAUAAUUUAACUUAAUAU